rnacentral:rRNA from 1 species
CCUACGGGUGGCAGCAGUGAGGAAUAUUGGUCAAUGGACGAGAGUCUGAACCAGCCAAGUAGCGUGAAGGAUGACUGCCCUAUGGGUUGUAAACUUCUUUUAUAUGGGAAUAAAACGUUCCACGUGUGGGAUUUUGUAUGUACCAUAUGUAUAAGGAUCGGCUAACUCCGUGCCAGCAGCCGCGGUAAUACGGAGGAUCCGAGCGUUAUCCGGAUUUAUUGGGUUUAAAGGGAGCGUAGGUGGAUUGUUAAGUCAGUUGUGAAAGUUUGCGGCUCAACCGUAAAAUUGCAGUUGAAACUGGCAGUCUUGAGUACAGUAGAGGAGGGCGGAAUUCGUGGUGUAGCGGUGAAAUGCUUAGAUAUCACGAAGAACUCCGAUUGCGAAGGCAGUUCACUGGACUGCAACUGACACUGAGGCUCGAAAGUGUGGGUAUCAAACAGGAUUAGAUACCCCGGUAGUC